rnacentral:misc_RNA from 1 species
GAUGAAGAACGUAGUGAAAUGCGAUAAGUAAUGUGAAUUGCAGAACUCAGUGAAUCAUCGAAUCUUUGAACGCACAUUGCGCCCCCUGGUAUUCCGGGGGGCAUGCCUGUCCGAGCGUCAUUGCUGCCCUCAAGCACGGCUUGUGUGUUGGGCCUCCGUCCUCCUCCCGGGGGACGGGCCCGAAAGGCAGCGGCGGCACCGCGUCCGGUCCUCGAGCGUAUGGGGCUUCGUCACCCGCUCUUGUAGGCCCGGCCGGCGCUUGCCGACACAUCAAUCUUUUUUCCAGGUUGACCUCGGAUCAGGUAGGGAUACCCGCUGAACUUAAGCAUAUCAAUAAGCGGAGGA